AAUACGACUCUCGGCAACGGAUAUCUCGGCUCUCGCAUCGAUGAAGAACGUAGCGAAAUGCGAUACUUGGUGUGAAUUGCAGAAUCCCGUGAACCAUCGAGUCUUUGAACGCAAGUUGCGCCCCAAGCCUUUAGGCCGAGGGCACGUCUGCCUGGGUGUCACG
rnacentral:rRNA from 2 species